rnacentral:rRNA from 1 species
UAACACAUGCAAGUCGAGCGGUAACAGGGAGUAGCUUGCUACUCCGCUGACGAGCGGCGGACGGGUGAGUAAUGUCUGGGGAUCUGCCUGAUGGAGGGGGAUAACUACUGGAAACGGUAGCUAAUACCGCAUAACGUCGCAAGACCAAAGAGGGGGACCUUCGGGCCUCUUGCCAUCGGAUGAACCCAGAUGGGAUUAGCUAGUAGGUGGGGUAAUGGCUCACCUAGGCGACGAUCCCUAGCUGGUCUGAGAGGAUGACCAGCCACACUGGAACUGAGACACGGUCCAGACUCCUACGGGAGGCAGCAGUGGGGAAUAUUGCACAAUGGGCGCAAGCCUGAUGCAGCCAUGCCGCGUGUGUGAAGAAGG